rnacentral:rRNA from 1 species
CAGUCGCCGCGGUAACACGAAGGGUGCAAGCGUUACUCGGAAUUACUGGGCGUAAAGGGUGCGUAGGUGGUUUUUUAAGUCCGUUGUGAAAUCCCUGGGCUCAACCUGGGGAUGGCAGUGGAUACUGGAAAGCUAGAGUGCGGUAGAGGGUAGUGGAAUUCCCGGUGUAGCAGUGAAAUGCGUAGAGAUCGGGAGGAACACCAGUGGCGAAGGCGGCUACCUGGACCAGCACUGACACUGAAGCACGAAAGCGUGGGGAGCAAACAGGAUUAGAUACCCGCGUAGUCCCUGUCUCUUAUAC